UUACACAUCACACCAACACAACAAUUCUACCAAUGUACAAUUUGGCAAAGCUGUAAGUUUCUUGGGGAGACUUACAGGAUUUAUAGGCCAUAGGAUCCUGAACAGCUCAACGGUAUCUAUAUCACAGAAAAGCCCACUCCAGCAGGAAGCUGCAAGCCUGGAGCUCUCUGCAUGACUUGCAGGCAGUUCACCAGAUGGAGACUCUAUUCUCUUAGGCUAUUGUUUAUUGAGUCUAUAACUUUGGCUGAGGAUCUGUGAAUCUUGUUAGUUCGGGAUUUCCUGGACUUGUGAGGUGUAUUUCCUGAGUCUCAUGAG
rnacentral:lncRNA from 1 species